UACGUAGGGGGCAAGCGUUGUCCGGAAUUACUGGGUGUAAAGGGAGCGCAGGCGGGAAGCCAAGUCAGCUGUGAAAACUACGGGCUUAACUUGUAGACUGCAGUUGAAACUGGUUUUCUUGAGUGAAGUAGAGGUUGGCGGAAUUCCGAGUGUAGCGGUGAAAUGCGUAGAUAUUCGGAGGAACACCGGUGGCGGAGGCGGCCAACUGGGCUUUAACUGACGCUGAGGCUCGAAAGUGUGGGGAGCAAACAGG
rnacentral:rRNA from 1 species